GAAUUUCGUCAAAGCCGACCUCCUCCCCGGCAAUGACGAAUACGGUCGAUCCUCACCUCCUCCCGGGGAUUGACCAUCAAAACGAUGCCCGCCGGAUCCUCCCCCGGCGGGCAUUGUUG
rnacentral:sRNA from 1 species